rnacentral:rRNA from 1 species
CUUGUUUUUUAAUUAAAAACUAGAAUGAAAGGUCUAACAUUUAAAUUAAAUUAUUUAAAUUUUAUAAUAAAAUUAUACUAAAUAUAAAAAUAUAUUUAUAUAAUAAAAAGACGACAAGACCCUAUUGAACUUAACUUAAGUUAAACUGGGGCAGUUAUUUAAAUAAAAUUUUAAUUUAUAAAAACAAUUGAUCCAAUAAAAUUGAAUUAUGAAAAAGUUACCAUAGGGAUAACAGCGUUAUAAAUUUUUAAAGUUCUUAUUAAAAUAAUUGAUUGCGACCUCGAUGUUGAAUUAUAUUUCUUAUAAAGUGCAAUAACUUAUAAAGUAGGUCUGUUCGACCUUUAAAAUAUUACAUGAUCU